UCACUUACAUUAAAAUUAAGGAAGCCACCAAAGCCUGUUCUCACGCAAGAAGAAUUUGACAAUGUAGUUCUAAAUUACGUCGUGGACAGUGUUUUGCCUUUGAGACACGUAGAAACUGAUCCAUUUCGUGAACUCAUGAAAAAUGUUUCACCAAAUCACGUAGUAAUGUGCAGGAAAACUUUGGCAAAGAGACUAUUGGCUAAAUAUAUCACGGCAAAAGAGAAAAUCAUUGAUCAUUUAUUGAAACUUAAUCAUGUUUGCACAACCGCAGACCUUUGGACUGCUCAUGGGAAGUCUUAUGUAGGGAUGACUUGUCAUUGGCUACACCCUACAACGUUCGAAAGGAAUAGUAUAUGUCUUGCUAUUCGAAGAGUUGUUGGCAGACACACAUACAA